rnacentral:rRNA from 1 species
GACGAACGCUGGCGGCGUGCCUAAUACAUGCAAGUUGAGCGCUGAAGGUUGGUACUUGUGCCAACUGGAUGAGCAGCGGACGGGUGAGUAACGCGUGGGGAAUCUGCCUUUUAGCGGGGGACAACAUUGGGAAACGAAUGCUAAUACCGCAUAAAAACUUUAAACACAAGUUUUAAGUUUGAAAGAUGCAAUUGCAUCACUCAAAGAUGAUCCCGCGUUGUAUUAGCUAGUUGGUGAGGUAAAGGCUCACCAAGGCGAUGAUACAUAGCCGACCUGAGAGGGUGAUCGGCCACAUUGGGACUGAGACACGGCCCAAACUCCUACGGGAGGCAGCAGUAGGGAAUCUUCGGCAAUGGACGAAAGUCUGACCGAGCAACGCCGCGUGAGUGAAGAAGGUUUUCGGAUCGUAAAACUCUGUUGGUAGAGAAGAACGUUGGUGAGAGUGGAAAGCUCAUCAAGUGACGGUAACUACCCAGAAAGGGACGGCUAACUACGUG